UGUGAAUUUAACUUAUACCUGUGGGCUAAAUACAGAAUAAGUGCAGCCCAGGCACUAGGAACGUGGGCAUCAGAACUAGAGCACGUGGGUUCUAAAUCCAGCGCCAAAGACUCACUAGCUGUGUGACCACAGGAAUAUUCCUGAACCCCUCUGUGGCUCAUCUUUGUCAACUGUAAAAGGGGAUUACCAUAUACUGUAUUCCCUACCACCUGCAAAGCUGUGAGGAUUAAGUAACUGAAUACAAAUACAAUCCUUAUUGCUUAGUAAAUAUUAGUUAUUAAUGUGGGUUGAACAACAUGAAAUUACCAUUCUGAAAGUCGCAAACAGUCAAAUAUUAGCAAAUUCAUUUGAUUUUACAUUUGUCGAAACAUGAAUCUAGUGGCGUUUUCCUGUUUCCCCAUUCAGCCUCCCCUGAAGAAGACCCAUCUUCUCUACCUUUGGCCUCUUUUCCAAAAUACCACAAACUUGUGUUUCCCUUAUCAGCAAGAAGCAGGCAGCAAGAAGCAGACAGCAAGGUAUGGGGUCCUAUGGACCAGACUUCAAGCAUUAUACUCUGAGAGCAUGAGAAAAUGACUUCUCUCUCCAUUUGUGAAAAUGUGCACAUUGCUAUCCACGUCCUCAGGUUGAUGCACACGAGGACAUGAGAUAAAGACGUGCGGCAAAGUGCACAGCACAGCAUGAAGGCUCUACAAUCGUUAAUCCUUCCACUUUCCCACACGGCCAUCUCCAAGUG
rnacentral:lncRNA from 1 species